UACGGAGGGGCUAGCGUUAUUCGGAAUUAUUGGGCGUAAAGGGCGUGUAGGCGGCUUCGUGUGUCCCAUGUGAAAGCCCUCGGCUCAACCCGGGGAACCGCAUGGGAAACUGCAGAGCUUGAGUCCGGGAGAGGUGAGUGGAAGUUCCCAGUGUAGCGGUGAAAUGCGUAGAUAUUGGGAGGAACACCGGUGGCGAAGGCGGCUCACUGGACCGGUACUGACGCUGAGACGUGAAAGCCAGGGGAGCAAACGGG
rnacentral:rRNA from 1 species